GGGCGCUUGGUCUAGGGGUAUGAUUUUCGCUUCGCAUCAUCGUUUCUAACAGUGAUAAGAUUGUGAAAGGUCGUGGGUUCAAUUCCCACAGCGUCCA